UUAAAUUUUUAUUCCUACACCCUGAUUUAGCCUCCUAAAUAAGUGACUUUCAGAAAUGCUGAGUAGGGUUAUUCAGUACUUUUGAACAUCAGCUCCAUUUAGACCCUACAAUCAGGAUUUCUGGACAGUUCCUCUAAGAACUCCAGCCUGGCUUUUAAAAUUAUGGCCCAAGAUUGCAUUCUCUAAUACAGACUGUAAAAUCUUUUUGAGAGAUUUCACAGAAAACCACCAAUUUCUGUCACACGUUUUUCCUAAAACCAGCUCUGUAAAGGUCUCUAGCCACAUGGUUUGAAGCCUCAACGGAUUAGUGUUUCACCAUCAUGCCUUUUCGAUUCAAGGAAAUGAGAGACUGACAGAUUUAUGCUCUCAGCCAAUUGCAAAGCUGCUCUCUUCUCUGUCCUACCUACCACUUCCUCUCAUCUUUCUCUCUUUCAUCAUCACUGUGCUUCCUGCACGUUCCCUGUUCCUGUGCUCCCGGACCAGCGUGCUCGGGCACCCAGGGAGUGUGCUGCAGAGCUCGGAAGCUGAGGCAGGAGUUCUGAUGCUUAAUUCUGCCCUUUGCUCCAGCAGAUUCCCUUACAGAGCUGCUGAAAAUGGAAUUGAUGAGCUGGGAGGAAACAGUUGCUUUGGAGAAAUGGCACAGUUCCAGAUAUGGGGCUCAGUGAGCUGAUUGUGGAGAGGCUGAGGAUGAAGACUGACUCCCCAGCGCCAUGAAAUGAUCGGGGCUGAAGUGGAAAAAUUAACUACUGUAACUGAAUCUUGAAAAUGGUCUGUAAUGAAACAUCCUGGACCUGAGCACCAAGGACAGUAGGGUGAAGCUGGGAAGCCAGGGAGUCCAUGUUGCAACGUGAGGAAGUUGGGGGCAAGAACUCUGAAGACAAGAUUUGCUGGUUUCGCUUCUCCCUCCUCACCCUGGAUCCCUUCUAGGAAUCAUAGAUAACGAAUUGCUGCCUGAGAGAUCUCCUGAUUAUCGAGACCGUACCGGAGCCUUCUGAUGUUCUUGCUGCUUCUGCCUUUGCUGCUGCCUUGGGGACUGGUAAGAAUCCCUCUGUGAAACUUUCUGUACUUUUAUUUUAUUACUUUAGCUGCUGGCUCUGUUUCCCUAGCACACAGACUCAAGCUAAACCUUGGUCUGUGUCUUAAAACCUCUCUUAAACUCUGCGGCGCUUUGCCGCUAAAAAUAAGUUUGUGCUACUGCUAAGCUCUGCUCCUGUGGGCUUUGCCUCGGGGCUCUCUGCUUUCAGCUGUAUCCACUGCUGUAGCCACCAUCCCUUGGCUUCCUUGGGAGCUGUAUUCUGGGCACAUACCACUCUGCCCUCUGUAACUUCCCCAUAGCAUAAGGUGCAUCAUAGGGUUUUUUUCUUUUUUAGUUUAAUAAGUCAUAGUUUAAGAUUGUAAAGCUUGUAAGGUUCACCUGCCUUGUUAUAGUUUACUGUUUUGUUGCUCCGUAUGGUUGCUUGUUAUAGUUUUGCUUAGAAUUGUGAUAUUUGUUGUUUUGCCUAGUCAUUGGUUAAGAUAGAUAAGGUUUUUGCUGCUUACAUUCGUCUUCUCGCUGUCCCGAUCUCUCCCUGAACUUUCCCGUGUCUGUUUUUCCCCCACUCCAAUCUCCCCCUCUGUGUGCUUCUCCGUGUCUCCCUGUUAUAACCCUUUGCUGCUUUUUUCCCCCGCAUCUGCACUCUCUCCGAACUUCCCAGCUCCUUGCUACUUCUCCCCCUGUGAAACUUCCCAAACCCUUUGCUGCUUUUUUUCCUUUGUUUUUGGUGUCCGCUUGUUGCUUAAACCUCUCUCCAGCCCUUCUUUACACUUCUCCGCUGCCCCUCCCCUACCGAAGAUCACCAUCACACUGCUCCAUUGUCCUUACCCUGCAGGGCUUCAGAGUCUCUCGCUGCUUCCAGCCACACUCUCCUCUCAUCAGUUGCCACUAAUCAUUCACUCCCCUUUCCCCUCCUGUUCCUUUACCCAGCCUUUAGGUACACUCUUGCAGAUUAUCUGCUAUCCUAGCCUCACAAAUUAAGUCAUUAAUUUUCUUUUAUACCGUUACAUUGCAUAAUUUCAUUUGUCACCCAUAUUGUAUUAUUGCACUGUGGUUCACAUUUUACUUUUAAUUAUAACACCCCAUUGGUUGCUUCCACUUUUCUGAUAUACUAUGUAUUUGCAUUAAUACCGUUGUGUUACAUUGUGUAUAAGGCCACUAACCACUUAAUACAUUCUGUCUAAUAUUGUUGAC